ensembl:lncRNA
UUUCUAGGCAAGAGUUGACGUGAGGCUGGUAAAGCCAAUAAACUGGGGAUUGAAGCUUUUAGGACCUAUGCGUCCCAGCUUAGAAACCGGAACACUCUCACCCACGCAGGCUACAGUCCCAUGCUGCUCCCACGAGCAUCUGAAGUCCUAUGGGUGACCUCCAUUGUCAAUAAUCGAUAAAAAAAAAUAUCCCUGCGUAACUCCUUGCGAAAGAGAAGACCACUGACCCUGUUUUUGAACUGGGAUGUCUGCCACUAUCCUCACCUCCUGUGGAUGGAAAGGUAACUGAUUGUUUUCAGGACUCUCUGAAGGGUAAUGGAGCUGUUCCGCAUCCUGGUUGUGAGACGCAACUAACAGCAGGUAAUGCGUUACAAAGGCACCAGGGCCUGUUGAGGGAACUGCAGGAGCUUGCCCAGGACGAGAGGGAGAGGGAGCAGGAGUUCAGGAGGAAGAAGGAGCUGUAUGAGGGGAACCAGUCUGAGGGAGAGAAGAGCCAAGAAGAGAGAGAGGAGAAGAACAAUGAACUGAGGAUGAAAAAAGUGACAGAGGAGGAGGAAGCAAAGGUAGAAAUGAUGGACAGAACAAAGGACGAGAUGAGGGAGGAGCCCAGACUAGAGGAGAAAAGUGCUGAUGAGGAGGAGAGCACCAAAGAGCUAGAGGAGCUCCUCGCGGCUGAAAUCACAAAGAAAGCGGAGGAGGAAAACGAUGACAGGGAACUUGAGGAACUGCUCAAAGAGCUUAAAAAGAAAAGGUACGAGUCGGCGAAGGAAAAAGAGCUCCAGCAAGGGUCAGAAGCUGAGGAGGAGAGAAGGAAGAAAGAGGAGGAAGAGAAGGAGGAACAGAGAAAGGGAGAGAAAAGGCGUCUAGAAAUCCUUGAAAGUGAAGAGAAGAAACGCAGCGAAGAGAGAAAGAACAACGAGGUGGAGCUCCUCGUGGAGAAAGAGAAGGUGGAGCGAGAGCUCAAAGAGCUUCUGAAAGAACAGGAUAGCAAGAAGAAUGCAGAGAAGGAGAAAGAGAGAGAGGAAAAACAGGAGGAACUAGAGGAGCUCCUUAAAAAAAUGAAACACGUCAAAGAGGAGGAGCAAGAAGAAGAGGAGGAGAAAAAUAGAGAGAAAGCCAGGGAGGCGGAGACGGUGAACGGACAUGGUCAGGAGCAGGUUGCCACUCCUCGGGAACUGGGGACGGAAGCUGGAGAGGACGACGAUGUGAAGGAGCCUCAGCAGAAACGAAUGAUGGAGAAAGCGAGUGAUGAAAGCACCCGGCAAUUUGAAAAGGAAAGGUACAGGGACAAUGAUGAUGAUGAUGAAGAAGAUGAGGAUGUGGAGGAGGAAGACUGGGAAGAGGAAGAGUCAGAUGUGGAGAGAAAGGAUAAUGAUGAUGAUGAUGAUGCUGAGAAGGAUGAAGGAGAUGAGCUUCUGGAGAUUGAGGCUGAGCUGCGAAAAGUGACUGCAGAACUUCGAGAGCUACGUAGGGGUCAUUAAGGUCGAAAUGAUCAUGCAGAUGCAUACACACAAACACACACCCACACACCCACACACAACCACACACAGGUAAGAUGCCCUGCUAGGCCUAGCUGGUAAAGGUUUGAAUCAUACGUUCAUGUCCAGUUGCGGUCAACUAUAUAAAAGAUGUAUGUAUACUUGAGUUUGCUUUGGUUGAAAUGGCUGCUGUGUGGCACAUAUAUCAUACAAACAGCAUAUUUACAACACACACAUUGUACCUGUAUUCUGGAUUAUACAAUUAUGAAUAACAUGACACAAGACUUUUUCACAUGCGUCACACUCAGAAACAUGAACAACUAAAUAGAUACGUGGAUUGAUCAUAACGCUUUUGAUGGCAUAUAUUUCUGUAUUGUUGUUCCAUUAAACCCCCCCC